AUUGAACGCUGGCGGCAGGCUUAACACAUGCAAGUCGAGCGAGUGGCGGACGGGUGAGUAAUGUCUGGGAAACUGCCUGAUGGAGGGGGAUAACUACUGGAAACGGUAGCUAAUACCGCAUACCAUCAGAUGUGCCCAGAUGGGAUGAGCUAGUAGGUGGGGUAAAGGUUCACCUAGGCGACGAUCCCUAGCUGGUCUGAGAGGAUGACCAGCGACAUGGGAACUGAGACACGGUCCAGACUCCUACGGGAGGCAGCAGUGGGGAAUAUUGCACAAUGGGCGCAAGCCUGAUGCAGCCAUGCCGCGUGUGUGAAGAAGGCCUUCGGGUUGUAAAGCACUUUCAGCGAGGAGGCGUUACUCGCAGAAGAAGCACCGGCUAACUCCGUGCCAGCAGCCGCGGUAAUUC
rnacentral:rRNA from 1 species